ACCAGGACCCCCUUGGUUACCUCCAGGAUAUCUCGACCCAGACGGUUGUCCAUAAGCUGGAGGUCCAGAUGGCUUCCCAUAGGAUCCAGGAGCAGGUGGUUGACCAUAAUUUCCAGGUGCAGGCGGUUGACCGUAAUUUCCAGGUGCAGGUGGUUGACCAUAAUUUCCAGGUGCAGGCGGUUGACCAUAAUUUCCAGGUGCUGAAGGGCCACCAGGCCUGAGAUCUCCUUCCUGUCCUUGCGAGAAACUCCUGCGCUCUUGUGGAUCUUGGAAACCUUGACCGGCUUCAUUUACACG
rnacentral:lncRNA from 1 species